rnacentral:rRNA from 1 species
UACGGAGGGUGCAAGCGUUAAUCGGAAUCACUGGGCGUAAAGCGUGCGUAGGCGGCUUUGUAAGUCGGAUGUGAAAGCCCGGAGCUCAACUCCGGAAUUGCAUUCGAUACUGCAAGGCUUGAGUCUCGGAGAGGUUGGCGGAAUUCCUGGUGUAGGAGUGAAAUCCGUAGAUAUCAGGAGGAACACCAGUGGCGAAGGCGGCCAACUGGACGAGUACUGACGCUGAGGUACGAAAGUGUGGGUAGCAAACAGG